UUACUAUCUGCAAUAUGGAAGAUUCGAACCUGCCGCAGGUUUGGGUCUCACGCAGUGAGACAACGGAGCCGCUUGCGGCGACGGCCCGAAGGGCGAGGCGAAGCCGAGUCAUCCUGCACGACCCACCA
rnacentral:sRNA from 6 species